rnacentral:tRNA from 1 species
GGCCAUGUACUUUAAAUUAAAAGGUUUGAUUUGCAUUCAAUUAAUGAAGACCAAAAUCUUCCAUAGCCA